AAGUAUGACAUAAUUUUGGCACAAAAACUUGAAAGUGUGAAACAAGGUAACAUAGAAAGAAGAUGACCGCAAUACUUGAACAUACAUCUGGACCUUAUUCAAGUGCAACAUAUAUUGUGUCGAAGUAAACACAAGAUAUCGAAGUUUGGUACAAACAGAACAUAAAAAAAACAGUACACUUUAUAGCACAACAAACAAACGUAAUGUUUUUCUUGGUUUAGUAUGCAACUUGAAACGUUUUCCCAGUAGCGUUUUCAUCUUAGCUUCAUCACAUUGUAGGCUUUACAGUGAGACGAGAAGCGACCUUCUGACCACAAGACUUGUCAGCCUGCAAUGAAUCCGCGCAAAAGAUUAGUUUUCGUUUCCCGCUCUUAAUGUAAGGAUAAAGAAUCAUGCGAAAGAAGAAAAACUCAAACCUGAGACAAGUAUGAUAUCCAUAUACUGCGUAUCUCAUAAGUGACUCGGGGAUCAGAUAAAUGCUCAACCCAUUUGCUAACAUAUCUGUCUUGCCUGAAAUAGUACAAGUACUCAAUUAUUCUGCAGGUUCUUGAGAGAGGGAAGAAUUGGCGAUAUUAAUGUUAUAGAACAACCAAAUUAAAUUACCUGUCAGGUUCCCAGGAUCUGUAUCUCUCUCCUGCCUGCUUGAAGUUGUUCUCUUUUUCAAUGACACACUAAAACACCAAUAAUAUAUAUGUGAGUGAAGAUUAAACUCAUUUAAGAAUACAACUCCCUGCACUGAUUAAUGAUUAUGAUGAACAAUAAGUAAAGAGGGUCUCACCAUUUCACGCCUUCCUGUCAAGACACGAGAAGGAAUUGGGUACUGUUCGGCAUGACGACAAGGAUCAAACCUUGAGGGCAAAUAAUCCACCUGCAACAUCAAGUCACAACAUCAGAAGAGUACUAAUAUGAACUUGCAAUUAGCCUUGGUAAGUCAAAAACAUUAGUAUACCUCUUCAUCGCGAUGCAUGAAGUUCAUAGCACCAUCGCGGUGAUUAUUGUGAUGAGCACACUUGGGAGCAUUAACAGGAAGCUGCAUAUAGUUUGGUCCAAUGCGGUGUCUCUGAGUAUCAGCAUACGCGAAUAUCCUGGUCUGGAGAAGCUUAUCCUCCGAAUAGUAAACACCAGGGACAAUAUGGCCAGGGUUAAACGCGAGCUGCUCAUUCUCAGCGAAGAAGUUAUCAAUGUUCCUAUUCAAUACCAAUCGACCAACUGGCAUCAAUGGCAAGAUAUCCUCAGGCCAGGUCUUGGUUACAUCAAGAGGAUCAAAGUCGAAUUUGUCUACAUCCUCAGUAUCCAUAAUUUGGAUAAAAAGUUUCCACUCGGGAUAGUUUCCAGCAGCAAUCGAGUCGUAGAGAUCCUUGGUGGCGUGGCUAUGAUUUGUACCUCCGACCCUAAUAGCUUCUUCCUCCGACAUGCACUUAACACCACAAGUUGGCUUCCAGUGAAAUUUCACAUAAUGUGCUUUCCCAGCCUUGUUUAUUAAUUGAUAGGCGUGAACACCAUACCCUUCCAUGUGUCUGUAAUCUGUCGGGAGACAAACAUCAUCGAAGAACCAAGCGAAAGUAUGCAAACUCUCCGGAAGGAAAGAGAAGAAAUCAAGGAUCCUCCAGUAUUCCUGAAUGUGUGACUUUGGAUUUGGUUUCAGUGCACGAAUCGUGUCAGGGAACGAUUUUGCAUCACGAUUAAAGAAGACGGGAACGUUGUUUCCAACCAGAUCAAAGUUACCCUGAUUCAUAAAAACAAGUAAAGAUACAGAAGUAAAUUAAGAAAAUACAAUUCCAAGAAAGCAGUAAGUUGAUGUGAUAAGGCAAAUUACCUCUCUGGUGUAAAAUUUGACAGCAAAACCGCGAAUGUCCCUAAGGGACUCGGGGCUUCCACGCUCAUGGACGACAGUAGAGAAGCGGCAAAUAACAGGUGUUUGAACACCAGGAGCUCGGAGAAAAUCAGCACAGGUAAGAUGAGA
rnacentral:lncRNA from 1 species